rfam:Populus trichocarpa isolate Nisqually-1 chromosome 13, whole genome shotgun sequence.
AUACCUUUCUCGGCCUUUUGGCUAAGAUCAAGUGUAGUAUCUGUUCUUAUCAGUUUAAUAUCUGAUACGUGGGCCAAUGGCCCACACGAUAUUAAAUUUAUUUUUCUAGGGUGAGGGCCUGUAACAGCAGCUUGCUGCUGGCGUUCUCGAGCGUCGCCUCUGCGUUCCACUGCUGCAGUGGCCUGGCGCACCCCUC